GGUCCAAAUGCAGGGGUGUUUACAAUUAAUUGAUCACAGCCAGUUACAGAUUUCUUUGUUCCUUUUUCUACUCCUACAGCUUUACUUGAUGAGCCAACA
rnacentral:Y_RNA from 1 species